AUUGAACGCUGGCGGCAGGCCUAACACAUGCAAGUCGAGCGGAUGAAGGGAGCUUGCUCCUGGAUUCAGCGGCGGACGGGUGAGUAAUGCCUAGGAAUCUGCCUGGUAGUGGGGGAUAACGUCCGGAAACGGGCGCUAAUACCGCAUACGUCCUGAGGGAGAAAGUGGGGGAUCUUCGGACCUCACGCUAUCAGAUGAGCCUAGGUCGGAUUAGCUAGUUGGUGGGGUAAAGGCCUACCAAGGCGACGAUCCGUACCUGGUCUGAGAGGAUGAUCAGUCACACUGGAACUGAGACACGGUCCAGACUCCUACGGGAGGCAGCAGUGGGGAAUAUUGGACAAUGGGCGAAAGCCUGAUCCAGCCAUGCCGCGUGUGUGAAGAAGGUCUUCGGAUUGUAAAGCACGUUAAGUUGGGAGGAAGGGCAGUAAGUUAAUACCUUGCUGUUUUGACGUUACCAACAGAAUAAGCACCGGCUAACUUCGUG
rnacentral:rRNA from 1 species